AGCGAACGCUGGCGGCAGGCUUAACACAUGCAAGUCGAGCGGGCAUCCUUGUGGUGUCAGCGGCAGACGGGUGAGUAACGCGUGGGAACGUGCCCUUUGUUUCGGAAUAACUCAGGGAAACUUGAGCUAAUACCGGAUACGUCCGAGAGCAGAAAGGUUUAUCUGCCGAAGGAUCGGCCCGCGUCGGAUUAGCUAGUUGGUGAGGUUACGGCGCACCAAGGCGACGAUCAGUAGCUGGUCUGAGAGGAUGAUCAGCCACACUGGGACUGAGACGCGGCCCAGACUCCUACGGGAGGCAGCAGUGGGGAAUAUUGGACAAUGGGGGCAACCCUGAUCCAGCCAUGCCGCGUGAGUGAUGACGGCCUUAGGGUUGUAAAGCUCUUUUCUCCGGGACGAUAAUGACGGUACCGGAGGAAUAAGCCCCGGCUAACUUCGUG
rnacentral:rRNA from 1 species